AUUUUUCAUAUUAUAGCAGUCAUUAUUUUGUGACUUUUGUCUAGUUUAUGUGCAAACUCAUUAAUGUGCAAAGACAUGAUUUAUAUGCUUCUACUGUAGUACUAAAUACAUAACAAAAUCCUUGGAAUCAUGUUGGCUUUAACAACCUAAACUCUAUUCUUUUUAUCCACCUCUUCUAGACACCUAUCAAUGGGUUCUUAUUGGACAUCUUUCGUUCUUUAGAUUCCUGUAAGCUUCAGCUUAUAACUAAAUGAUUCAUAUAUGGGUUCUAGGACUAAAUACAUAACAAAAGCAUUGGUUAGGAGAUCCUUGGAAUCAUGUUGGCUCUAACAACCUAAACUUUAUUCAUGUAAUCCACCUCUUCUAGACACCCAUCAAUAGGUUCUUAUUGGGCGUACUUUUGUUCUUUAAACUCCUAUAACCUUCAGCUUACAACUGGUGACAUGUUAAUUAGGAUUGAGUUUCUCCUCCAUAUCAGCUGAUGUUGGUCUUGUUUCCUGUGACCACACCACCUCAGAUGACCUCUAAUCUUCUGCAAGACUGGAGAUGUUCUACCAUCUCACAUGUCCUCCAGUUUCUUCCAUCCCUUGUAACAUGUUUGUUUCAGUUGCGUAUAUCUUUUGUGAUGUUGGGACACAACAGAAUGUACAUGGAGCUCGCUAGCGUUCUAGCGUCAAACCAUACCAUACCAAACCUUAAGUCUCAAUCAGUUGGGUCAUGCCAGAAAUAUAGUGUCAAGAAUUUUUUGAACAACUUAAGGAGCCAUUCUAUUUAGAUUUUGGAAAUCUGAGUACGAUAUCCGACAGGGGUAAUAAUACUAUAACUACUCAAAACUCGAGGGGGCCAUGGCCACCCCUGGCCCCCCAUUUCUUCAUUGCUGGCUGAUAUACUACCAAUGUAUGUCUGUGCUCUAUUUGCACGUGGAAAAGGGUGCUGAUUCUUUUCAAGGUGCAAUGAAAUCUCACCCGGUAUGCUGAAUAUUAUGGUCUGACAGACCUCUGGUGCUUACAAAAAUAUUUCAACCUUUGUAUGUCACUCUGGUACUUCAAGAUAUCAUCUUUGGUCACUUGUAUUGUUACAGUGGAUUGCGAUACAUUGGUGAUGAUUGAAACCACGGGAAAAAAACAAAUUGUGGUUUCGUUCCGAUAGUUAUCCUUGGUUCUUUGUUCAGAGCUACAUAACAGCUUGGGUUGAUUUGUGCGUCAAAUAGCUUUCAGAUGUUCAGUUUACCAUUGAAGCACUUUCACUAUUGUGCUAAACAGGUGGUUAUAUUCCACGACUACAUUUAUGAUUGGUUGACUAAAAGAUGAUUUAGCUCCUUUUGUAUCUGAUUUAUUAUGAACUUUUAGUCUUUGUGGAAACUUUAUAUCCACCUUAAAACCAAUUGACAAUGAGUGGAUAGGUCCCAAAUGUUAUUAGGUGAUCACCCAUUCCACCCCCAAGCAAUGUGGGACUAUAUUUCUUUAACAGCCU